GGGCGGAUAGCUCAGCGGUGAGAGCGCCUGUCUUACACACAGGAGGCCGCAGGUUCGAUCCCUGCUCCGCCCACCA
rnacentral:tRNA from 1 species